rnacentral:rRNA from 1 species
AUGCUCGGCUGCUUCCCCGCCGUCGUGGCCGGCCGGAGGCCCCCCAGGUCACCGCCGUCGGGGCUCCUUAACCUCACCUACGACGACGGCUCCACCUCCACCUCCGUCUCCGUCUCGCCGCCCUCCUCCGCCUCCACCUCCUCCCCGGCCUUCCUCGACGAGGUCGACCCCGACGACGCCGACGCGCAGGCCGACCUGUCCUCCGCCAUCGCGUCCCGCCGCCUCUCCCUCGCGCCCCCCGGCCGUUCCAACUCCAUCGUCGACUCCUCCUCCCCCGAGCACGCCGCCGCUCCCUGCCACGGCGGCACCACGUGCAGCGUGCCACCGUCGCAGGAGGCGGUGCGGAGCGUGACGCUGUCGACGGACGCUCCCCGCGCCGAGUUCCUCAAGUCCAUGCUGGAGAUGGCGGAGGCGCUGGGGCUGGACCCGCGCCGCGGCGCCGACCGCGCGCGCAUGCACGACCUCCUCUUGUGGUACAUCGCCAUCAACGACAGCGACACGCUCAGGGACAUCCUCGGCGCAUUCACCGAGCUCCUCUGCAUCCUCAACGGCAACACCACCGGCGACGGCGACGGCACUGCGCCACCAGCGACAGCAGACAGAGCGACGCAUAGGUAG